ACAGACACUGAGCAGCCCCAGAGCGG
rnacentral:piRNA from 1 species